UUGAAAACUCUGGAGAUUGAAAUCCUCCAUUUUUCCACAGAACAGGUGCAGCAAGUGUAGCAACAGGGUAAGCUUCCCAAACUACCCAAUCAGCAUGCCUCAACCUGGACCUGGAGUGGCCUCCUACAGGCAGGAAAUGCAGCUCAUUCUCCCUGGUCCACUAAAUCCUUUGUUUUG
rnacentral:sRNA from 1 species